GCAACUGAUUUGCUUAUUGCACACAUGUGUUUUUCUUUGAAACAAACUUGCUUUGGCGGUGGGCCCAGCCUGCCGCCAGAGGUCUAAACUUACAACCAAUUUUUUAUCAACUUGUCACACCAGAUUAUUACUUAAUAGUCAAAACUUUCAACAACGGAUCUCUUGGUUCUCGCAUCGAUGAAGAACGCAGCGAAAUGCGAUACGUAAUAUGAAUUGCAGAUAUUCGUGAAUCAUCGAAUCUUUGAACGCACAUUGCGCCCUCUGGUAUUCCGGAGGGCAUGCCUGUUUGAGCGUCGUUUCUCCCUCAAACCGCUGGGUUUGGUGUUGAGCAAUACGACUUGGGUUUGCUUGAAAGACGGUAGUGGUAAGGCGGGAUCGCUUUGACAAUGGCUUAGGUCUAACCAAAAACAUUGCUUGCGGCGGUAACGUCUACCACGUAUAUCUUCAAACUUUGACCUCAAAUCAGGUAGGACUACCCGCUGAACUUAAGCAUAUCAAA
rnacentral:rRNA from 1 species